CGUUGGCGGCGUGGAUUAGGCAUGCAAGUCGAACGAGAACCCUUGGGCAACUGAGGGGGAAAGUGGCGAAAGGGGCAGUAAGGUAUGGGUAACCUACCCCGGGGAUUGGGAUAGCCUUCCUAACGGAAGAGUAAUACCAGGCGAUCUGGCGAAGACGCAUGUUUUUGCCAGGAAAUGAAUUUCGCCUCGGGAGGGGCUCAUAUAGUAUUAGCUAGUUGGUGGGGUAACGGCCCACCAAGGCUCAGAUGCUUAGCGGGUGUGAGAGCACGACCCGCGCCACUGGCUCUGAGACACUGGCCAGACUCCUACGGGAGGCUGCAGUCGAGGAUCUUCGGCAAUGGGCGCAAGCCUGACCGAGCGACGCCGCGUGUGCGAUGAAGGCCUUCGGGUUGUAAAGCACUGUCGAGGGGGAGGAAAGCCGCAAGGUUUGACCUAUCCCUGGAGGAAGCACGGGCUAAGUUCGUGCCAGCAGCCGCGGUAAGACGAACCGUGCGAACGUGGUUCGGAAUCACUGCGCUUAAAGGGCGCG
rnacentral:rRNA from 1 species